rnacentral:rRNA from 1 species
CCUACGGGAUGCAGCAGUGAGGAAUAUUGGUCAAUGGACGAGAGUCUGAACUAGCCAAGUAGCGUGAAGGAUGACUGCCCUAUGGGUUGUAAACUUCUUUUAUAUGGGAAUAAAACGUUCCACGUGUGGGAUUUUGUAUGUACCAUAUGAAUAAGGAUCGGCUAACUCCGUGCCAGCAGCCGCGGUAAUACGGAGGAUCCGAGCGUUAUCCGGAUUUAUUGGGUUUAAAGGGAGCGUAGGUGGAUUGUUAAGUCAGUUGUGAAAGUUUGCGGCUCAACCGUAAAAUUGCAGUUGAAACUGGCAGUCUUGAGUACAGUAGAGGUGGGCGGAAUUCGUGGUGUAGCGGUGAAAUGCUUAGAUAUCACGAAGAACUCCGAUUGCGAAGGCAGUUCACUGGACUGCAACUGACACUGAGGCUCGAAAGUGUGGGUAUCAAACAGGAUUAGAUACCCCUGUAGUC